rnacentral:rRNA from 1 species
AUUGAACGCUGGCGGCAUGCCUUACACAUGCAAGUCGAACGGCAGCACGGGUGCUUGCACCUGGUGGCGAGUGGCGAACGGGUGAGUAAUACAUCGGAACAUGUCCUGUAGUGGGGGAUAGCCCGGCGAAAGCCGGAUUAAUACCGCAUACGAUCCACGGAUGAAAGCGGGGGACCUUCGGGCCUCGCGCUAUAGGGUUGGCCGAUGGCUGAUUAGCUAGUUGGUGGGGUAAAGGCCUACCAAGGCGACGAUCAGUAGCUGGUCUGAGAGGACGACCAGCCACACUGGGACUGAGACACGGCCCAGACUCCUACGGGAGGCAGCAGUGGGGAAUUUUGGACAAUGGGCGAAAGCCUGAUCCGGCAAUGCCGCGUGUGUGAAGAAGGCCUUCGGGUUGUAAAGCACUUUUGUCCGGAAAGAAAUCCUUGACUCUAAUACAGUCGGGGGAUGACGGUACCGGAAGAAUAAGCACCGGCUAACUACGUG